AUGAACGCUAGCGGCAACGGGCUUAAACACAAUGCAAGUCGAGGGGCAGCAUAAUGAAGUAGCAAUACUGAAUUGAUGGCGACCGGCGCACGGGUGCGUAACGCGUAUGUAACCUACCUCUAACAGGGGGAUAACACUGAGAAAUUGGUACUAAUACCCCAUAACACUUGAUAGGGCAUCCUAUUGAGUUGAAAGUUCCGGCGGUUAGAGAUGGACAUGCGUUGUAUUAGCUAGAUGGUGAGGUAACGGCUCACCAUGGCGACGAUACAUAGGGGGACUGAGAGGUUAACCCCCCACACUGGUACUGAGACACGGACCAGACUCCUACGGGAGGCAGCAGUGAGGAAUAUUGGUCAAUGGACGCAAGUCUGAACCAGCCAUGCCGCGUGCAGGAUGACGGCUCUAUGAGUUGUAAACUGCUUUUGUACAAGGGUAAACCCCGAUACGUGUAUCGGGCUGAAAGUACUGUACGAAUAAGGAUCGGCUAACUCCGUG
rnacentral:rRNA from 1 species